UACGAAGGGGGGCUAGCGUUGCUCGGAAUCACUGGGCGUAAAGCGCACGUAGGCGGCUUUCUAAGUCAGGGGUGAAAUCCUGGAGCUCAACUCCAGAACUGCCUUUGAUACUGGAGAGCUUGAGUCCGGGAGAGGUGAGUGGAACUCCGAGUGUAGAGGUGAAAUUCGUAGAUAUUCGGAAGAACACCAGUGGCGAAGGCGGCUCACUGGCCCGGUACUGACGCUGAUGUGCGAAAGCGUGGGGAGCAACAGGA
rnacentral:rRNA from 1 species